CAUUGCCACAGCUGCUUGGAGCCUUGGGCAGCAGCACCACAGGAAAAUUUCCCAUAUACCACAGUUACACAGGGCAUGACUACACAUGGGUGUGCCGCAGGCCGUAAAGGACCGGAGCCUUUAUCAUGGAAGUGAAGGGCAGUUUUGAGAGAGAUUUCAUUGGGUUAUGGAGGGUUCCAACAUGAACUCUGGCAUUAAUCUGGAAGCAACUCCUCAAGAAUGCUGCUUGGGCUGAAUCAAUCUUUGGUUAAACCAGAGGUGGAACUGGCCUAAGCACCCAUUAACAUGUCAUGAUUGUGGGGAAAGCAUCUGGACAGAGGGCUCAUAGAAUCAGGCACACAGAUUAUCGGUUCACAAACAUUUUUGAGAUUCCGUCUUUUUCUCCUGAUUUGGGACAGAGGAAAAAAACCCGAAACCUUGAAAAUGCUCAUGGGACGGGAAAACCAUUUCCCACUCAGCACUUCUCAGGGGGUUCUCAGGAGCCUAAGGGAGCCACAAAAGGUUAAAGGAAAACAACCAUGGAUAGAAACAAAGUUGGAACGGAGGAUUGAGAGACAACGAGAGAGAGAGAGCGCACACUUCCCCCAGCCUCCAUGAUCCCUCCUUCUUUAAAGUAACCCAGAAAAAGGCAUCGUUCCUGCUAAGUGAAGUUUAAGCCUUGUAAGCACAGCUGAUGCAGUUAAAGAGCCCCACCAACAGCAAACAUUCAUGCAGCUCAGUGUCCGUGGAUUAAUUUGAAAUAAGGAAUAAAAAGAGGGAAGUUAUGAGGAAUGAUCUGCCUAUCAGGUUUUCAGCCCUGGGAAGUUUCUCACAGCGUCACUGUUAUAUAAUGAACUGGGCUCUUGGGUUAUUUUCCUGGGGGACUGGUUUGUGCUCCAUGAGAAGGAAUUUUAGUCGCAGGAAAAAUCCCGAGGCUUGUUAAUCUUCAGCAAAAGGCUCGUGUGCUGUUUUGUUGUCAUAGCACAUGCCUGUCUCUGCUUGGAUGAAAUACUGAUUUGCCUCUUGCCCUAGAAGUGAGACAUUAAAUCCUACCAAGAUAGCACUGCUAAUAAAUUAAGAGGAUGGCACUGUUUUCUCUGCACAGUCAUCCUUAGAGAGGAAGGGGGAUCUUCAGGUUGAGACAUUGUAUGAGGAUUCAGGAGAUCUGUGCUAAAUCCCUGACUCUGCUACUCUGCUUCCUGUGUGACCCUAAACAAGUCACUUAACCGCUCUCUGUCCCAGUUCCCUUUCUUUGUCUCUUUAAAUUAUUAUGAUUAUUAUUUCUGUUUAUGGUAACACCCAGCUAAGAACAGGGCCCCACUGAGCUGGGCGUUGUACAUAGUAGGAGACUGUCCCUGUUUGAAAUGACUUAAAAUCUAAAUAAACAAGACAGGCAAAGAAUGGGAGGGGAAAGAGAAGUGAAGGCUUAUUGUACAAAACAAAGGUUUGCCGGCAUAGCUAUGUCAGCUCGGAGCAUGACAAAAACCACACCUCCUAGCUGACAUAACACCCAGCAUAGAUACAAUUCUACCCACAGAAGAGAACUUUUGUUGGGAUAGCGAAUGUCCUUCAGGGAUGUGGAGUACCUACACCGCCAGAAGAACUCCUUAUGCCAGCAUACACCACAUCUCCACUAGGGGGCUUUGCUAGCAUAGGUAUCUGUAGUGUAGACAAGUCCAAAGUGACCUCAUCGAGGUCACACAGCAGGUCAGUGGCAGGAACGGAACCUGGCGGGGGGGGUCUCUUGACUCCCACUUCAAUGCACUAGCAACUAGAUCACCCAGCCUCCCAGCUCUUUGCAACAGAGACUCACUCUUACCCCAUGUACCAAUGGUGUCUGAUCAU